AUUGAUAUGAAUAUAUAUGAAUGAGAAGAUAGAUCUUGCAUAUUCUAUGGGUUAAACUCUAGAAAUGUGCAACCAUCUAUCGCGUACCCAGCUUGGGCCAUCUGGUCAGGGCAUGACAAUCCUACAUCCUCUUAUUUUGAGAAAGUGAUAUUAUAAUUCUAGUUUAUCUAGUUUAUCUAUCAUAGUUUACACUUUAUCCGAUCUUCUUUCCAGCUUUUUGGUACUGCUGGC
rnacentral:lncRNA from 1 species